rnacentral:rRNA from 1 species
AUGGUAAAGGGCGCUUGUAGUGGAAGAGAUGCCGCAUUACGAACCAUUGCUGAAAGUGAGGAGGUAGGAGGAUCCACUCAAACACUACAAUGGAAGUGUGUUGAAUCAAGAGUAGAUAGUAAGCGCCUUUAUUAUGGUCAUUUCAUUCUGUCCCCACUUAGAAAAGGUCAAGCAGACACUGUCAUUAUUGCCUUGCGAAGAGCUUUACUUGGAGAAAUAGAAGGAACAUGUAUCACACGUGCAAAAUUUGGGAGCGUGCCAGACGAAUAUUCUACAAUAGCAGGUGUUAAAGAAUCCGUACAAGAAAUUUUACUAAAUUUGAAAGAAAUUGUAUUGAGAAGUAAUCUCUAUGGAGUUAGAGAUGCAUCCAUUUGUGUCAAAGCUCCUAGAUACAUAACUGCUCAAGAUAUCAUCUUACUACCUUCCAUAGAAAUCGUUAAUACGGCACAACCUAUAGCUAACUUGACAGAGCCCAUUGAUUUCUGUAUUGAUUUACGGAUCAAGAGGGAUCGUGGAUAUUAG